UACAGGAUAUAGGGGUAGCUGAUAUGGAGAAGAAGUAGAUUCGUUUGGUGGUGGGAACAUGUGGUUGUGUUCCCUUUGGCUUCCAAAAUUCUCGGAGUCCUGAUUGAGAAACCUUGUGUUUUUAGCUCAAUCUAAAGGACUCCUUAAAAUCUUUAAAUAUCACCAAGCUGCUUGUUUCACUGCCCUUAAAGAAGGGUAUGUGUUCAUAAUAGCAGCUAAAUAUUUAAGUGCAAAAGAACUUGGUAUGCUGGCUGGAAAAGGAGGAAAAGCCAGGAGUGGGACUGAAGCCUCAAAUCAACUUUAUUUCAACGUACUCAAUGUUUUUUUUUCUUACUGGACUAAGCCUGAAAUGUUUGGGGAAGUGCAAGUAUUAAUUUUUUACUACCUCAAAGACACUGAACUGUGUGUUAUUCAUUUUUUCUGUUGUUGUUUCGGAAAUCAAUCGUUUAAGUUUUUGGAGUUCUUGGUGGGGUAAUAAGAGAAUUUAACACUAGAAUAAACAAGGAUCACACAGAA